GGUGGAUGCCCAGCCCCUUCGUCCCUGUGAGCUGCAGAGGGAAACGGCCUUUCUGAAGCAAGCAGACUACGUGCCCCAGUGUGCAGAGGAUGGCAGCUUCCAGACUGUCCAGUGCCAGAACGACGGCCGCUCCUGCUGGUGUGUGGGUGCCAACGGCAGUGAAGUGCUGGGCAGCAGGCAGCCAGGACGGCCUGUGGCUUGUCUGUCAUUUUGUCAGCUACAGAAACAGCAGAUCUUACUGAGUGGCUACAUUAACAGCACAGACACCUCCUACCUCCCUCAGUGUCAGGAUUCAGGGGACUACGCGCCUGUUCAGUGUGAUGUGCAGCAGGUCCAGUGCUGGUGUGUGGACGCAGAGGGGAUGGAGGUGUAUGGGACCCGCCAGCUGGGGAGGCCAAAGCGAUGUCCAAGGAGCUGUGAAAUAAGAAAUCGUCGUCUUCUCCACGGGGUGGGAGAUAAGUCACCACCCCAGUGUUCUGCGGAGGGAGAGUUUAUGCCUGUCCA
rnacentral:lncRNA from 1 species